ACCCUCAACCACUGCGCCACCAGAGAUGUACUCCAUUGCUGCUAAGACUGUGGUAGACACCGAUAGUCAUAUCCCGUUUCUGGAAGAAGUUUUAGUUGGGCAUGUGGCCACCCAGAAGACAUUUCCCAGCCUUCUUUGAAGAUGAGUGGGGACACGUGAGCAAGCUGUGGUCCCUCUCACCCUAAGCAGAAAUAAUGCAUCCAGCUUCCACGUCGUGACCUUAAAAGGAGAGGGUGUGCCUUCCGCUCCCUCUCUUGCCCGUUCCCACUGGCUGCCAUGUGAAACUGCUUGGGAGCCACGCUUGUCCACAUGGAUGAGGCUGCACCCUGGGGAUGGUAGAGCCCUGAGACAGAUAUGCUGUGGGCCUGGCACAGCUGAGCAUUGGCUGUUGCACCAGGGUUGCUGAUGGGAGAGAGAUGCAUUUCUAGUUGUGACUAGUCACACCGGCUGAAUCGGUGUCUGAAUUCCUGCACCCAGUCCCGAGCAGGCAGAAAUGACGAGAAGCACCAUCCCUGGGGCGGUGCUCUUGUGGUAAAAAUGUGAUCGAUCGCCUCAUCUGGAGGAUAAACGACAGCACUUUGGCUAUCACAGUGAUUCUUAUUUGUUCGCUGAGAGAAGCCACCACUAGGUCAGGUUCCUGCAGCAUUUCCGGGUAGCGGGACACUGCUCGCUCGAUCCUGGCUGACCGCCGUACAGGAGUGAUAAGCUUCAUGUCUUGCACUUCCGGCAUUCCGUUUAUUCUGAGAGACAGCAAGAGAUGCAUUCAAAACCUUCUAACUUCUUUCAAAAUUCUACUUGUUAGUCUUUAUUUUUUUCUUAUUCCCUAAUAAAACACAAGAGAAAUGUCUAUAGUAGCUCUCGUCCUAAGGUGGACUUGCCCUCAUUGUCAGAAUGAACUGGGUGGUGUCCAUCUGCUCUCAGAUGGUGUCAGCACAGGGAUUUAAUUGAAUGAAUUGUUGAGUGUGCUUUUAUUUGAAGUCAGCUACUUGGCAGUUGGUGUUUGUUUAUUCCAUAAACUUUCAAAGAGCUGACACGUUUUGAUGAAAUUGGGCCUAACACCAAAUGAGGCUGGACUAAUGAAUUCUAAGAUUCUUUCUAGCUUUGACAGUAAAUUAUUCAAAAAACAUCUUUUAAGAUGGUGGACCAAACCACAAAUUGAAACUGGAACAAAUCAGGCAUCUUCCUGGUAAACCUGAAUGCAUUCCAGUCACAGGCAGCCUGGAGGGUACGUUGCAGAGACCUUUCCAGGCAGUGAAUCCUGGUCACACAUCACAAAACCACGGAUUACAUUAGCCUCACAAAACUCGUGGCCAGUCUGCUGAAAACGCUCGUCAUCGAUUCCGGAGGCAGUAAGAGGUGGUCUUCACGUCAGCUGCCUGCUUUCAUCCACCCACGAGCUGACUACAGUGGGGAAAUGACAGGUCUGAGACAGGAGUUUAGACUGGAAGAGGCCCAGCUGUGCUUUCCAGAGAAUGAAGAUACAGAACUGUGGUCUUGGUGCUUUUGUUUGGAAUUUUCCUUUCAAGAGCACGAACAGAGACUGAUGUUACACUAAUGUUUUAGAAAAUGACAUCGAUACCCUGACAAAGUUCCUUAAAUUACUAUGGAUUCUUAAGCUUACACUUGUCUCAAAACCAAACACUUCUGAUACUGUGCGCAGUCUCUAACUAGCACGUGCCUGGCCGCCUCCCUGUUCUUACAGGGCUAUUCACAGCUCCCUCCUUCCCACAGCACCAGAGGUUGCCUGCUUGGCAGUUUGCUCCUGCCCCCCAGGACUGGCUGGAAAGGUGGGUGGGAUCUGCAAGUGCAGCACAAAUGAGGGUGAAGAGGGAGGACCAAUGCCAGGAGGGAGGGGUGACUCCACUCCAGCAGCCCUCCUGACCCUGGCAGCUCCUUCCUCAUUGCAGGUCACGUCUCCUUGGGGGUGGUGUGAGGGGGGAUGGCGUGUGUACUGAGAAAGGACACAGGUCUUCCUGGCACUGGUUCCAACUCUCCCCUCACCCUCAGCUCCUUCCCUUAACACCAAAGAUGGAUUAGACCACCUGGUCCUCGUAUGAGGCAGGAGGUAUCACUAAUCUGAUGGUAUCCUGGAUCUGUGGAGGAGAAAUUGAGACUUGGACUUGAAUUAGACCUGUGAACACAAGCCUGCUUUAGAGUUUGCUUACCUAGGGAUCGGCGCGAUCUGUAAUUUGAUACCAGGAUGAUUAUCCUGUCCUGACUUGGUUAUUUGGGGUGUUGCUGAAACCUGUUCCCUCUCUUUUGGAGAAAGACAAGACGUCCCAGACUCCAUCUUCUUGGCCAGCAUUUCUAUUGAUGUUAUAUUAGUUUCAGCAGCUAAAGAGUCAGAGGUAAUUCCUGUGUAUACAAGGUCAAAAAGAAAAGAUUUAGCAAUUUAAUACUGAAGCUAAAAAAUCAAUAAAAUGAAAUAGCAGUU